rnacentral:rRNA from 1 species
GUGGGGAAUAUUGGACAAUGGGCGCAAGCCUGAUCCAGCCAUGCCGCGUGUGUGAUGAAGGCCUUAGGGUUGUAAAGCACUUUCGCCGAUGAAGAUAAUGACUGUAGUCGGAGAAGAAGCCCCGGCUAACUUCGUGCCAGCAGCCGCGGUAAUACGAAGGGGGCUAGCGUUGUUCGGAAUUACUGGGCGUAAAGCGUACGUAGGCGGAUUGUUAAGUGAGGGGUGAAAUCCCGAGGCUCAACCUCGGAACUGCCUUUCAUACUGGCAAUCUUGAGUCCGGGAGAGGUGAGUGGAACUCCUAGUGUAGAGGUGAAAUUCGUAGAUAUUAGGAAGAACACCAGUGGCGAAGGCGGCUCACUGGCCCGGAACUGACGCUGAGGUACGAAAGCGUGGGGAGCAAACAGGAUUAGAUACCCUAGUAGUCC